AUGUCCCCAGCGCUGCAUCUCCUGUGGGUUCUGCUGAUUCAUUUAACAGCUGAGAAUAUCUACGCGGCCGCAGUGCUCAAUCAGCCCCCAAUGUCCGGACCUGUUUCCGCAGGACAAACCGUCCGCUUAGAGUGUCGGAUACAGAACGGUAAUGUUGGAAGUUACUACAUGUGCCUGCACCGACAGCGUCCCAGGGAGAGACCGGAGUGUAUGUUAGAACAUUACACGAACAAUGGUAUUGCCCAAGGGACAGGGAUCACUCAAAGUUUUCAACUGUCCAGAGACUCUUCCAGCAACAGUCACAUCCUGACCAUCAGCAGAUUGGAACCCCGCGAUUCCGCCGUCUAUUACUGUGCAGGGUGGGAUAAUGGAGUUAUCUUCGGUCAAGGCACUAUCCUGGAUAUUAAGAGUAGCGAUUCCCGGGAGCCCUCGGUUCUGCCACUCCCUCCCUCUCUGGAGCAGACCGGCACGGGUUCGGCCACUCUCUCCUGUCUGGUGAGUGGCUUUAAGCCGGGCUUGGUAGUGCUGCGCUGGAGCGUGGAUGGAGUUGAGACAGAGAGCGGCGUGACGACAGGCGCUGUCUCCUUGGACACCGACCAGAACUACAGGCUGAGCAGUUACCUGCGGGUAACCACCGUUGCCUGGAACAAGGGCUCGAGUUUUCCUGCAGCGUGA